rnacentral:lncRNA from 1 species
GUAAAAAGAAAUCAUCCUCCAAUCAUUACCAUCUCUUUUUCCAUCAAUCAAAACUUUCUCGAUCAAUCGUGAAAUACCCAGGAUGUAUUAACGAUUCCGCCGUAGUUGAAACGCCAUUGUUCGCGUGGAUCUAUCACCGGGGAUUUGGUGGUUCUCGGCCAGGGUAUCGCUAUAAUACCACAUCGCCCUCGCGUUCACCUCCUGCUGCCCCUUAACAAGAGUUCAAUUAGUUCCGACUUAACGGCUCUCAGUUCCGGUGACUCGUGACUGGAAUCUUGGACAAUUAUUCGUCGGGCGGAAACUGUGUAGCACGAAUUUUCACCCCCCCCGGCGUAUAAAUCUUCCGCACGCCCGAGGAGGAGUCUUUUCCUCGGACGUGAAAUUGUCCCUAGGUAGGCGAAGCCCCACCUAGGAUGGCCAUAAUUUUCUCCCUAUGAUUCACGAUUCGUCAUAUCAGCAUAUUGAUUUAUUCCAUCCUUUAUUCUAAUCAUUUUUCGUAUUUUCAGGAUUUUUGGAACACGCGAUAAAAUCCUAACAUCAUAUUCUUACAAUCGCCAAUGCUUCGAAUAAUUUUUUGAAAUGUUCACAGCGAAAGAAAUGUCGACAACGACUGCUCCAUACAUCAGAAAUUCUAUAUCAUCAUCGAAUGUAUAUCGAUAUUUUAUCAAACUUGGAACAUGCACCCUUAACAUUUUCUUAAUAACUUGAACAACAACCCUCCCUAUAGAAUAUUUACUAUUUUUGUAGUAAUUUAGUAUUGGUUCCAGGUUUCCACACGAAACGAUCGGCUGUUUUUCGAGAUUUCGAAACGAGUUAGGGAGCAGAGAUCGAAAAUCGAAGAGGCAAGUGGAAGGAUCCGAGAGGCGGGUAAUGUGUUUUGCGGGGAGGGGUGGCAGAGGGAGCUAUACGGAAGUGUCUAGGAAAUGAAAUACGUUGCGUGCGUAAACGAGCUGUCAGAGCUUCUCUCGAGUAAAUAACUAACUUUCUUGGCUCGGCUCUUGGUGCCGAGCCUUAAACCGUCGUCACGAGAGGGAGAGGGUUCUCGUAACGUGCUCUCGAUGUCCUCUCCCACCCCCUUCUAAGCUAAGAAAGCUAACUGCGCUGAUUACGAAGCGUCUACGACUUUGCUGAUUAGAAUCGUCGAGCAAAGUUAUAAUCGGCACGCGAUAUUUGCACAAUCGGAUUUACAAACAACGGUAAUUACAAACGGGUGGUGAAGGGGGAGGUUUGAUGGAGAUGUAACUAGCCGGGGUUCUUGUUCUAUUCUAACAAGGGAAGGGAAGGGAAAAUUUAUAUAUACGGAAAUUGUUACACGAGCACGACAUUCUAUUCAUCGAUUCGAAGGAAUUUAGAUAAUUUCGAAGGAAUUCCGUGAAAUGAGAAUAAUUGAAUAAUAUUUAACGGAGUGGAUCGAUGAAUGGAUGGUUUAUUCAUGGUUCGAGGUUAGUUAGAACAGAAUGGAAUUAUCGAUCCCGUCGAAAAAGGAAUGUUUCUUCAAUUUUAAAAUUAAAACAAAAAGUUGAUUAUGAAUUAUGAAUCUAUUAAGUAAUUAUUUGUUUACGAAAUAUCUAAAGAUAAAUUAAAUGGGACGAUUCUAAUUACGAAUUAUGCACGAAAGUUAUGUUUUUUUAAAUGAAAUAAAGAAUUAAAUAAUUAAAAUAAUUCGUACCGCGUAAUUAAAUGAGAUUUGAUAUAUUCAUUUUUCAGGCAAAAUAAGAUGCAACGUCGUUUUUAUGGAGAGAAUAUUUCUGACAGAAUGAGUAUUUUAUGAAGAAACUCGGAGAAGGGCGGGAGAAGAGUCAACGAUUUUUCUAGUGGCAAUAAAGGGACUCUCUGAGUCAAGCAAGACAAAGAUUUAUGACGAGAACGUGAUCUUAUUUUGCCCGAGUCUCCGGCGAAAAUUGUCCAUAAUGGGGAAAAUGAAACGCGAGUGGGAAAGCUUGUUAUCGAGCUUAAUCAAUCGAAAUAUCGCUCGCUUUGACCGAUUCAAAUUAACAGCCCCUCCCCCCUUCAAUCCGGAUAAUGAAGGAGAAACACGUGUCUCACGUUUCAUACUUUUAAAUGCUUUUCCAUGUAAACAGAAAAUUCGAGAUCGAUCGAACUUUUCUAAGUAAAGAUUUCGAUGUAAUUUUUAAUUUAUUUAUUUAUUUUUUUUUUGUCCUUAUUGAUUGAUGUCCACUUGAAAAUAAUUAAAGAUUAAACUCGCAACGAUAAAAUAACUUUUAUCUUGUAAAAUAUCAUUAAAUAUUGAUAAUUAGAAAAAUACAUGCUUAGAAGAGAGAAAUAAACAGGGAUUCUUUGCAUAUUUUUUCAAGAAUCAAAACUAUAUUAUUCAACGUGUCAUGGAAUACUAUUAGAAAAUAAUAAUCCCUUCUCGUUCUCGAUCAAUCAAGAUCACCCAAGAAUCAAUCAAUUACAAAACAAUCGUUUAGAAAUAAUUUUUAUUUUCGUUGAAUCAUAUCAAUAUAUUCUAAUACUUUCGAUAUUUUCAGGUCUCUAAACAAGAUUAAUAAAGAGAAUCAAAGAGAUCCAGAACAGGAUAUAUUAACUCACCCUUUGAUGAAUGUAUAUUUUGGUACACAUGGAUUUUAGGAUAUGGUAAUCUCCGGAAUGGCGUUCGAUUCGAUCGUAACGUAGGAUUGCCAUGACAUAAACGCACAAAAAAGAAUAAUUAAUAUCGCGUCCACGUUAUUAUCCAAAGCUUUGUAGAAGCUUCUAUUUUUUUUCCCCUAUUGGAGCGGUUUUAAUAACUGCUUUUGAGGGUACGCCAUGUCCCACGGCUACGGAUAAACGUAUUUUAAUACACUUUUAUGUUUCAAUAUGUGGAUAAAGUCGAGGGCAAAGGUUCGCAACCUGUAAUUCUUGCUAUUCUGAAAUGGAGAACUUCUUCUCAUCCGAUCCUCUAAAAUGAUAGAAUAUUAUGAUAACAUUGGGACAAUCUGCGAUUAAACAGCAAUAAGAAUCCACAAAGGAGUUUUUUAAAAGAGGAUGAAACGAGCGAGUAAUGAAAUGAAACACACGGCACGAAGAUGAGGAUGAAAGACGAUAUCUGUCUCUUGGAGACAAAAAUAAAAAAAAAGAGAAGGAAAGUAAAAGGAGAGGAAGUCGAUACGCGAUAAGAGAUUGGGCGUAGAUUUAGCAGACGCGAGAUUGUAAGCGCACGGGGGAGGAGGAGAAGAGAAGGAGUCUAUGCGCGUUUAUGGGGGGGUGGAAGACGAUGAAUCCUCGGCGAGGAUGGAAGGGCGGCUUAUGGAUUCUCCCCCUUCCCCUUGGUCCGAACUUUUGCGCGGUAACCCUCGGUAUAAAAGGCUGGAUGGUGUCGGGACAGUUAGGUCGUCGACGUGACCCGAGAGCUCGCCUGGAACAACCUCCAUUUGUACGGGGAAUUACAUCCGCGUAUAUGAAGAAACUCGUAUCUUUAUAUACCCCGAGCCCAAGGAAGGAAGUUGGCAAGGGAUGGCCCCGAGAUAAGCGAGAUCAGAGAUAAGGGAUAAAAAAUUGAAGCGAUGGAUUUAAUAAGAGAUUUCUCUCCCGCGAAAGUGUUAAGAGAGAAAAAAAAAGAGUGUGUGAGGAUGGGUAUCACGAAUCGAUUAAUUGUAAAAUAGGAUAAUUAAGAAUUUUGUUUUGCGUGACUGUAAUAAUUCAAUGAUUAAUUACGUACGAUAAUUGAAUUCGAUAUAUAGAUAAAAAGGAACGUCGUGGAACACGUUUUUUGAUUGGAAAGAUAUGAUAAAAAAAAAAAAAAAAAAGAGAGAUG